CUUCGGCGCCGCAGCGGCGAACGGCUGAGGAACACGUACGAACCUGCCCGCUCGUGGGGAAUAACGCGCCGAAAGGCGUGCUAAUACCGCGUACGCUGAGCGCGAGCUCAGGAAAGCCUUCGGGCGCGGGCGGAGGGGCGUGCGGCCCAUCAGGUAGUUGGCGGGGUAAGCGCCCACCAAGCCGGUGACGGGUAGCUGGUCUGUGAGGACGAUCAGCCAGACUGGGACUGAGAGACGGCCCAGACACCUACGGGUGGCAGCAGCGAGGAAUCUUCUACUAUGGGCGGAAGCCCGAUAGAGCAACGCCGCGUGGAGGAGGACGGCCUUCGGGUUGUAAACUUCUUUCGGGGGGGAUGAAAGGGACAGUACCCCCAGAAGCAGCCCCGGCUAACUCUGUGCCAGCAGCCGCGGUAAGACAGAGGGGGCAAGCGUUGUCCGGAAUUACUGGGCGUACAGCGCGCGCAGGCGGCCCGGGAUGUGCCGUGUGACACGCGGAGGCUUAACCUCCGCCGGCCACGGUAGACAGCCGGGCUGGAGGCAGGGAGAGGGCUGUGGAAUACCCGGUGGAGCGGUGAAAUGCGUAGAGAUCGGGUGGAACACCAGCGGCGAAGGCGGCAGCCUGGCCCUGGCCUGACGCUGAGGCGCGAGAGCGUGGGGAGCGAACAGGAUUAGAUACCCUGGUAGUCCACGCCGUAAACGAUGUGGACCCGGUGCUGGCGGGUGAUUGCGCCCGUCGGUGCCUCAGCUUACGCGGUGAGUCCACCGCCUGGGGAGUACGGUCGCAAGGCUAAAACUCAAAGGAAAUUGACGGGGGCCCGCACAAGCAGCGGAGCGUGUGGUUUAAUUCGACGCAACGCGCAGAACCUUACCUAGGCUUGACAUGCACCUGCAGCCCGGGGAAACUCGGCGCCUUCGAGG
rnacentral:rRNA from 1 species